GGGCGGGUAGCUCAGUGGGAGAGCAUCGGCCUUACAAGCCGGGGGCCGGAGGUUCAAACCCUCUCCCGCCUACCA
rnacentral:tRNA from 2 species